rnacentral:rRNA from 1 species
GACGAACGCUGGCGGCGUGCUUAACACAUGCAAGUCGAACGGAAAGGCCCUGCUCUUGUGGGGCGCUCGAGUGGCGAACGGGUGAGUAACACGUGAGUAACCCGCCCUUGUCUUUCUGAUAACAUCACGAAACUGGGGCUAAUACCGGAUAGGAGCUCUUGCUGCAUGUUGGGGGUUGGAAAGUUUCGGUGGUUGUGGAUGGUCUCGCGGCUUAUCAGCUUGUUUGGCGGGUAGUGGCUUACGAAGGGUGUGACGGGUAGCCGGCCUGGGAGGGUGACCGGCCACAAUGGGCCUGAGAGACGGACCAGAAGGCAACGUGAGGCAGCAGUGGAGAGUAUUGCGCAGUAGGCGGAAGCCUGAUGCAGCAACCUCGCGUGCGGAAUGACGGGCUUCGGGUUGUAAACCGAUUUCGACUGUGACGAGGAGGGAGUGACGGUAAUGGGUAAGGAAGCACCGGCUAACUACGUG